rnacentral:rRNA from 1 species
AGUGAACGCUGGCGGUAGGCCUAACACAUGCAAGUCGAACGGCAGCACAGUAAGAGCUUGCUCUUACGGGUGGCGAGUGGCGGACGGGUGAGGAAUACAUCGGAAUCUACUUUUUCGUGGGGGAUAACGUAGGGAAACUUACGCUAAUACCGCAUACGACCUACGGGUGAAAGCAGGGGAUCUUCGGACCUUGCGCGAUUGAAUGAGCCGAUGUCGGAUUAGCUAGUUGGCGGGGUAAAGGCCCACCAAGGCGACGAUCCGUAGCUGGUCUGAGAGGAUGAUCAGCCACACUGGAACUGAGACACGGUCCGGACUCCUACGGGAGGCAGCAGUGGGGAAUAUUGGACAAUGGGCGCAAGCCUGAUCCAGCCAUACCGCGUGGGUGAAAAAGGCCUUCGGGUUGUAAAGCCCUUUUGUUGGGAAAGAAAAGCAGCAGGUUAAUACCCCGCUGUUCUGACGGUACCCAAAGAAUAAGCACCGGCUAACUUCGUG